UACGUAGGGACCGAGCGUUGUCCGGAAUCAUUGGGCGUAAAGAGCGUGUAGGCGGCCACUUAAGUCCUGCGUGAAAUCUUGCGGCUCAACCGCAAGCGGUCGUGGGAAACUGGGUGGCUAGAGUGCGGGAGAGGAGAGUGGAAUUCCUGGUGUAGCGGUGGAAUGCGCAGAUAUCAGGAAGAACACCCGUGGCGAAGGCGGCUCUCUGGUACGUGACUGACGCUGAGACGCGAAAGCGUGGGGAGCAAACAGG
rnacentral:rRNA from 1 species